rnacentral:tRNA from 1 species
GGAGGGUUGCCCGAGUGGCCAAAGGGAGCAGACUGUAAAUCUGCCGGCAAUUGCCUUCGAUGGUUCGAAUCCAUCACCCUCCACCG